GGUAGUAGAGGGUGCCGCCGCGCACCACGUAGCAGGCGGCCGCUUUGCGGAUCUUGCGCUUGGCGUUGCCCUCCGUUCCCGGCGCGUAGGGCUCCCGCUCGUUGGUCAGGUAGCGCAGGAUGGCCAGCCCUAGCUCCGAAACGAGCGGCCUCCGCUUCGAACUUGCGUCGGGAAUAGGAGCUACGAGAAAAUUAGAAUCGCGAUUUCACGUUGCAGCGUGAGCGCACCGAUCAGGAGCAGCACAACCGGCGACAGCUGCACCAGCGCGGGCGGGGCGGCACGGCGGCUACGUCUCGGUGCAGAGCGUGCUCUUUUUUGUUUGUGAAAGGAAUUAAGGAAAAUCUUUUGAACGUUAACUGCUGGUCUUCCUCGUCCGAGUUCUGAGCGGAUUUUUACACCCGUAACACAGACGUGAGCCGCAGGAUGCUGGCGCCCAGUCAGGAGCGUAGCCAGGAGCUUCCCCCGUGCUCAGUACUUGCAAGACGGCCUCUGGAGUACUGGGAUCCCCCCAAAUACAAAGGUGCUGACUGGACGGAGCGAGUCCGAGUCCGGCAGAAGGCUGCAAAGAUGGUCAGGGAUCAGAGCGCGAGGGACGAGCCGAGGCUGAGAGCCGGCCUUUUUCAGCCUUGAAAAGAGAAGGCUUUGUGAGGACCUUGCUGCUGUCCACAGCUACCUCACCAGAGGACCCAGAGAAGAUGGAGGAAAACUCGUCAGAGUUGCAUAGCAAAGAGGCAGCAGGCACAGGUUAGAGCACAAGAAAUUCUAGUUGUAUAUUAAGGAUUUUUUUUUUUUUUUUUUAAACCGUGGUGGUUGUCAAAUACUCAAACACAUUGCCCUAAGAGAUUGUGGAA